GGAGGGUGCAAGCGUUGUCCGGAUUUAUUGGGUUUAAAGGGUGCGUAGGUGGCCUUAUAAGUCAGCGGUGAAAGUCUGCAGCUUAACUGUAGAACUGCCAUUGAUACUGUAAGGCUUGAGUACUGAUGAGGUAGGCGGAAUUGAUAGUGUAGCGGUGAAAUGCAUAGAUAUUAUCAAGAACACCGAUUGCGAAGGCAGCUUACUAAGGAGUUACUGACACUGAGGCACGAAAGCGUGGGGAUCAAACAGGAUUAGAUACCCUGGUAGUCCACGCCAUAAACGAUGAUUACUCGAUGUAUGCGAUAGACUGUAUGCGUCCAAGCGAAAGCGUUAAGUAAUCCACCUGGGGAGUACGACCGCAAGGUUG
rnacentral:rRNA from 2 species